rnacentral:rRNA from 1 species
ACAAACGCUGGCGGCAUGCCUAACACAUGCAAGUCGAACGGACAGAACAGGGAAGCUUUUCGGAGUGGAACUGGAAAGUUAGUGGCGGAUGGGUGAGUAACGCGUGGACAACCUACCUUGUAAAGGGGAAUAACCUCGAGAAAUCGAAGCUAAUACCCCAUAAUAACCUUGCUUCGCAUGAAGUAAGGAGGAAAGGCGGCCUUAGCGCUGUCGAUACAAGAUGGGUCCGCGUCUGAUUAGCUAGUUGGUGAGGUAAAGGCUCACCAAGGCGACGAUCAGUAGCCGGCCUGAGAGGGUGACCGGCCACAUUGGGACUGAGACACGGCCCAAACUCCUACGGGAGGCAGCAGUGGGGAAUCUUCCGCAAUGGGCGAAAGCCUGACGGAGCAAUGCCGCGUGAGUGAAGAAGGCCUUCGGGUUGUAAAACUCUGUCCUUAUCGAAGAGAGAGUGUUGUAGUAACUGACAAUACUAGGACGGUAGAUGAGGAGGAAGCCCCGGCUAACUAUGUG